CCGCCGCCACUGCCCACUGCUCACUCAGCCGUCCGCCCAGCCCUAUCUCUUGAACGCACCUCAUCUUCUCCAUCCCCUCCCCAUCUUCCUCUAGCGCCAGCCACCAGGGAGGUUCGAGCUCGCCCCCUCCGCGCCCUCCCUGCUCGCUGCCCUCCAGCUCGCCAGUCGUGCUCAGCUCUACUCCAUCUUCCUGCGCCGCCCAAGUCCAGUCAGGAACUUCCUUGUGUCAAUCUGCCACUACCCAUUGCUACCAGUGCUGUUUUUAUUACCAUGCUGGUCACUGCUUCCAUGUCUUCACAGGCCUUCUUAAGCUCGUCGAGUUCUGAUCUGAGCAUGCCGUUGACGACGGUCAGUUCUCGCUCAUCCUGCCAGAAGACAGCACAUGACAAAGAUGCUGAGAGGACAUGCUAUAUAUUUACAGGAGUUGGAGAUGCAAAUGCUUUUUGUUAGUGACGAUUGCCACUGUAAAUUCCCUUAUGUAAAAGAUAGCCAUACCAUCAUCAACAAAGUGCUGCCAUGAUGGGAAUGCGUCGCAGCAUUUAUUUCACCCUGUCCAGAGAUGAGGAAGACAGGAGUAACAUUCCUACAGUUACUAUUCAGAUAUUGGUCGAACCAUGAGAUUCUUACCCCAGGUAGAGUUUUUUUAGAAAGAGGAUAUGUGCUGGCAUGGGUGUACAAACCCAUGGAAGCUAACUAGCUAGAAAUUCAUUUUGAGAAAGGAAGUUGGAGUGUGCUUUGAAGUUGUGCGCAAGGUUUGGCGUGUAAAUGAUAAAGACAAGGUUCAACUCUCACCCUCUGACCAAUCCAAAUUUUACACUGGCGAUUGCUACAUAUUUCAGUAUACUUAUCCUGGAGAUGAUAAGGAGGAAUGUCUUAUUGGAACCUGGUUUGGGAAAAAGAGUAUUGAGGAGGAUAGGCUAAUAGCAGUUUCACUUGCAAGCAAGAUGGUUGAAUCUGCUAAGUUUCAGGCUAUCCAGGCGCGCUUUUAUGAGGGGAAAGAACCGAUUCAGUUCUUUGUGAUUAUCAAUCAGUGCGGGAGUGAUGUCGUUGUGGUGCUUUUGAACCUAUUAUUAGAAUGCAUCAGUCAAACUCGCCUUCAGUCUAGUGGCGUUGUACUCCCAUUUCAACAAACUAUAAAUGAUCUAGUUGUGAAUGAUCUUAUAAUUGUGAUGCUUUUGUGAAUAUAUAAUUGUGGUGCUUUUGUGUUGAUGU